UAGGAAUUUCUACAACAUUUAUUUCUGAGAACAAAAUUUUUGCCUUUCACAAAUGGCAGUAGAGUCAAUAAGAAAAAAAAAAGACCAAAAAAAUGUUUCAAAAAAUCACCAAAAGCCAUUUUAGGAGAGAAAAAGAAAGGACCUCAUGCAAACAAAUUGAUCAGCACAUGUACACCAGUAACAAGAAGCAUUUGGUCACCAGUUACUAUGGAAGCAAACAAAAAUGAUAGAAAAUUCAUUUAAAAUCAAAUUAUAUAAAGUCAGGUACGAUAUUUUGGCCCAUGUGUUUCUUCUUAAGUUUCAGACUACUUAGUUCAGAUUUGUUUGCCAGAAUCUGCCAGUUCCAAAAAUGUUUCCCUAUGGCCCCACAUAACAUGUUAAAAAUAAUAAUCCCUGAAAAGGAGCUCUUCGGUGUAUACAAAAAAAUUAGUAAAAGCUCGAGACCAUGCCUUUAAACAAGGGCUUUCUUUGAUAUUUACAUCACCAUUUUAUUGCUUUUUUUUUUCAAAACAUAUGCAUUAAAUGACAAUAAGAACAAUAAAAAUACGAAUAAUUAUCGCACUUCACUUGAAAUUUAAUGGUUAACAAUACUACAUUUGAUGAUAUUUGUAGGUGUACACAAGUAUAAAUUAUUAAGAUUUAAAAACUGGUGGAUAAAAAAAAAUUAUUGUGAAUGUGUACCAUAACCUACAAUUUUUGAAAACAUGAAAUGUUAAAUGUGUGAGAGAAAGUGAAUUAGAAUAAUGGUCUCAGACUUCAUAAUGAUCCUGGCAUAAAAAAAAAAUAUGCAUAGACAGAUUUUGAUAGAACCAUAGCUCUGAGGAAUCUUCCUGGUGCAAAUUUUGCUCUGAAUCUACAUAUUUUUUUUUACUAUAAAGUAGUUUGAUCACCAUCAUCAAAACUUUGUACAUAGAUAAUAUUUACAAGUUAAGAGUCAUUUAACACACUCAUACUGUGGUAGUUUUUUUUUGCCGACAUAGUCAUUCUCUAAUUUUACAUAGAAAAUACUUUUAAAACAAAACAAAAAAACAUACAAACAAAAUUCAUUUUUCUUUAAAAUUUGGUAGUUAUAUGUACAAGAAAUGCAUUUUACAAUUUUUGAAGACAAUAUUUAAAUUAACUUUUGUCUAAAUAAGAACUGCAGUUAAUGAUAUAAUUCAUUUUUUAACAAUUGAACACUACUAUAAAAAUUCUUGAAUUUAUAUGACUGACUCUCAAUAAUCUGAAUUUUUUAUUUAUUUAUAUGUUUUAAAAAAAUCAUUGACUGAAGUUAAACCACUAAGCAAGUGAUAAUUUCAGUAGACAUCUGAUAUUAAAUAUCUCACUUUGUACAACAAGCACAAACAGCACAUACAAAAAUAUUAAGAUUUGUAUAAACUGCUGAAAUUAGU